UUUUGUGUGCCACACAACAGCAGAUAUUUAGCAAUUUCGUUUGUCAAAUUUGCGACACCUUUUGUAUCUGGUGCUGAAUUGUUGCUAACUAUCUGCAAGUGUAAAAUUUGUGAAAUUAAAUUAUUUUAACGUGAUUUAGGUAUGUACUAUGGACAGAGCUCAAAUAAUAAAUGGGGCUUUGGAGUCUAAGGAAAUUAGGUCGGAUACAUACGAAUUAGUGCGUAUGCGUGUCUGUCUUCGUGAUCAAGCCUGACCCCUUAAUCUAUCGGAAAGUUUGUUCAGAACACAUUACAGAAUUUCGAAACAUCAAUAUUUACAAUUGUGCUCUGAAUUAAAGCCGUUAAUAACCUAGAUCAUCAAGACGAACAAGAAUAGAAAGUAAAAUGCAAGGUGUUAACAGCAUUGCAAAAUUUCAUACCAGAAACCUGUGGGAAUGAGCUUUUUGCAUUUUGAGUUAAACUGUAGCAAAUCCAAUGCCAUUAGGGAAGUGGCUAUGGCAUUAAACAAUCUUCCAGUUUUAUUGAAACAUUUAAAGUUUCUGCAAACAGUACAAUGGGUCACAAGUUAUUAUAAAUGGGUUUUACAAUAAAUUUGGCUAUCCUGGGGUUUUGGGGUGUAUAUAUGGCACUCAUUUGCACUUAUCAGAUCUUCUGUAUAUGAAGAAAGGUUUUAGAACGCAAGCAUUAUCAUUUCAAGAAUGUGCAAAUACUAAGUAUUUUGCUGAAGCCUAUCAUUCACAAUAACAAACAUUUGAUAGUACUUAUCUAAAGAAUUAAAUUUUUCAGAUCUGUGAUAGUGAUCUUAACAUUUUAAGUAUUGAUGCAACAUUUCAUGAUACAUUUGUCUGGCUUAUCACAACUGAAUAUGCCUAUGCAGGACCUGCACCAUAAUAGUGAAAAAGUUUUGUUUUUUAGGCAAGUAAAACAUCAUGAGCUCUGUCUCAGUAACCUGACUAUAAAGUAAUACUCAAUCUAAAAGUAUAUUUAAAACUGGGAAGGCCGUUAAUAUAUAGUACUAUAGUAAUGUUUAUUGUCAUACCAGGAACACUGUUGACCAUUGUGAGUAUUGAAGGCCAGUUGGAGAUGCUUGUUGGUACAUACAGUACUGCAUUAUGAUCAUCAUAUGAUGGCCAAGACCAUAAUUGUUAGCUUGUAUUGCAUAACAUGGCAAACACACAUGGGUUUCCAGUGCCCCAACUCUCUGACGAAGAUGCUGAAAUUGAUGUUUCUUAUCAAAUUCAUAACAUUGUAUUUUUUGGGAGAGAAGAGUAAACACAGCACUUAGCACCAUGUCAACAUUCAAGGGUGGUUCAAUUGGAUUGUGGAGAACAGACAUUAAAUUUAGUCCAACCUCUGUAUUCUAGUAAUUUUAUGUAGAUAUUUUUAAAACUGCUGUUCUUAAUUAUGUGAACUGAGAGGGCAAGAAUAGCCUAAUUAUUUCUGCCUAUAAUUUUUUAUUUGUGUUUAGUGGAAAUAUACAUAUUUCCUUAACAUUUUUGUGUUUAUAGUAAAGGAUGGAUUCAUAACAAUUUGAAAGCAAAAUUGUGAGGUUGUUUUAUUAAGACGAUGUUUUAAAUCUGUCAUGCUCAAUUUGUUCUGUAUCAUUUUAUCUUUAUGUUAACCCCGUUUGUAUGUUGUGUUGUUAUAUAUAUUAUUGUAUAUACUGCUGUUUUAAAUAAUAGAAUAGAAUGAAUAACAAAUCGACUAGUAAUUCAUAAUUCUUCUAGAUUUUGUUGGAUACUUACAUGAAUAUUACUUACAAAAUGAAAAACAUAAUUCAUAAUUUAGACAAAAUGUGGAUCAACCACCACUCAUUUUUGUUCAUUGUGAUAAUAAUAAUAAUAAUAAUAUAAAUAUAAAUAUUUAACUGGUCCCGUGAUAAGUUCGUAAAGAACUUGUGUUACAGGUACAAGAUAACGGAAAUAAAUGUAGGAUUUUUAUUAUACACAUACAUAUAUUUAAUAUACAUCCAUAACCCUGGAAAAGACAUUUAUAUUUAUCAUACAAAUAUCUUCCCUUGGCGGGAUUCGAACCCGCGACCCCCUUGUGUAGCGACCAUGUCACUUACCACUACACCAGACGGCCGUUAGAUAAGUUUGAUAAUUAUUAUUUUUGUGUAAUUUUGUUUUAUUUGAAUAAUAAUUCUUAAAUUAGGAAAUCGUAGUUUGUUUGUAAUACAUGUCCAACUUCUUGCCGCAUGAAAUUGAAGCCACAAUUGAAAUAUAAUAUCGACUGCCGAUAACUUCAAAGAAACAUAACUGAACUUGAGGCCGAGGUAAGUAGGAUGAUAGCAAGGUGAUAGCUCUAUAACCCUAGACUAGAAGCAGAACAUGCCAAAUACUGUGAGUACAAAAUAUACAAUGAAGCUAAAUACUGGUAUUCUACUGGUGGUAGGACCACUUGUGAGUCCGCACGAGUAGGUACAACCACUCCGCCUAUUUCUACCGUGAAGCUGUAAUGCGUUUCGUUUUGAAGGGUAGAGCAGCCGUUGUAACUAUACUGAGACCUUAGAACUUAUAUCUCAAGGUGGGUGGCGCAUUUACGUUGUAGAUGGCUAUGGGCUCCAGUAACCACUUAACACCAGGUGGGCUGUAAGCUCGUCCACCCAUCUUAGCAAUAAAAAAAUAAAUGUCAUUUUGAAAUGCUAAGUUGAGAGUAGUUUUAUUAGCGUAAAAUAUACUCAUUAGUGUCAUAAAAUUUACUGUAGUACCAGCCUAAAGUAAAACGUAUAUAUUUGGAUUUGCUUGACUAUUGUAACAAGCGCUAUUCCGUUUUUAUGGUAAUAUGAACUAUUACGGGCUCAGCUAAAAUUAAAACAAAAUUGAACUUAUUAUUUUAAACAUGGUUUUUGCCGAUAUUGGUCAAUUCCUUGAAUUUUUCUAUAUAUCUCAGCUGGAAGAUGCGCGGCCUCUGCCUGCGUACGAGCAGCCUCUGCUAAAAUGAAAGCUGCUUGAGCCAGUGGUUCGCCUUAGUUUCCAUUUUCUCCUCUUUCUACAACUACAGCUCACGAUGUGUCUACUCUUGUUUGUUGUCCGCUAUAGUCUAGAUAAUAUAAUGAUUGAUUAACAUUCUUACUGCAGUGAGUGAGUGCAAAGAGUACCUGGUUAUUGAAUACAAAUAACUUACUAAAUAUCGGCCUGAUAUUUGCAAUGAAGCUUCUCUUAAGAUGGCUUCGUCGACGAAAAACUGGGCUAAUUAUAAAAAUAAAUAUUUAUUUAUUGUCUUAAAAUAUUAGAUUCAUUUGUUUAAAAAUAAUAUAGAACAUUAAGUUAAUGUCUGACAUGCAGUUUCCUAUUCACGUCAUAUUGCCCAUGACCUUGGGUGAACAUUAUUUUGAAUAGUCUGCAUAGCUUUUAUUUCCCUUCAAGCUGUGAAAGACUGCACUAUAUUUCUGGUAUUCAAAUCAAAGCCUACUCUUGCCAAGUCAAACAAAUCCACUAUCUAUUACUUGAUAAAAAAUAGCAGCAUCUCGCCUAGAAUAUCAUCGACUGGUUGUUCUAGCGUUGUCGGCCUCAUGUCGGCGUAAGAUGGAUCUGUUGUACACGUUAUUAUUGAUAAAACCAUACAACUAACUCAUUUAUUCUAGAAUUUACUAUUUAAUUUGAAAUCGUCGUGGCCUAAGCGGUGUAUUAGAGACUGCCGACUUUCUAAUAAAGAUGCGACUGAACCAGUGUUAGAAUCCCGCAGGCAGAUAUCAAUAAAUCCAAUGAAACACGUAUUUGACAUAUAUACAUGGAAGACUUCCAUGAUUAAGGAUUCAUUCAUCUUUUAUUUAAAAUCAAAUUAGCAAAUAUUCUUUAAGAAAUCGUUGGUGGUAGGGCGUUUGAUUAACCCGCAAGACCACCAUUCCGCCCAUUUCUACCGCGAAGCAGUAAUGCGUUGCAAUUUGAAGAAUGGGGCAGCCGUUUUGGUAUACAGUUGAAAUUCAGACCUCGUUUCUAAAGGUGGGGGCGGCAUUCACGUUGUGAGUCUAUACCACUUAACACUAGUUGGGUUGUGAGCUUAGUUACUUACUUAAUUGAUAAUGAAAUUAAUAAAUUACGCUAUAAUUUUGAUCCAUUCUUUUUUUAAAUAGGUUCGUAACGUAAACAACUAUCUGAUUACAAAUUAUCAAACGAUUACAAAAAAAAAUGUUAUCAGUGUUUGAUAUGACACAAUUACGUUUUUAUAGCUAUUAUUCAAAAUAAAGCAAAAAUUAUUAUUAGAUCACUUAUUUUUAGUAACGCUUCAUCGAAAAGAACAGAAUUAGCAGCUCUCACAUGGCGUUUCAAACGUGAAUUCCACUUAAACGUUUUGAAAUGUUUAUAUGUAACGCGCUUUUAUAAAUUCAUUUGCCGGUUUCUUCAGCAAAAAAAAAAAAGUAAUGUGGCUUUUUAGUGCCAAUUAUUGCUACCCGAUUGCGACUGGCGCUAGUUGUAUGUCAGAAAACUGCAGUAAGCGGUAAGCGAACAAUCGCGGUACGUGAUACGAAAUAAUUUGACGUUUUGCGAUCGGUCGCGACGCGUCUGCACAGCAUCUGCAAAAUUGUGGCUGUCGCAAAUUUUUACGUGAUCAGGGGGCCGAACGGUUGUUUUAUUGAUAAUUGGGAACUACGGCUCAUGUCGGUGCUUUAAAACUCAAUUAAACCUUGAAAAUUGAACUGUCUUAAGGAAAUUCAAAUUGUGAUUUUAUAGUACGUAUCUCGUUUACGAUCGUCUAUAAAGUUGCUUCAUGAUGUGAUUCUGUGAUGGCCAGCUAGAGAGCAAUUUGUACUGUAAUAUUUUGAUAUUAUUUCAUAAAGCCUAUGUAGAUUUUUGGGUUUUAUACACGUUUCGUGUGAUUUUUUUACGGCCCUGAUUAAGAAUGGUAUUACGAUUUAAGGUUGAGUUUUUAAAAAAUAAAUGAAUUAUGGUAAUCUACCGAUAAUCUCAACGAUUAAUACCAAAAUCAUGUAUUAAUCAUGACCUAAUGGUUGAGUGUUUUAGUUUUGACAUUUGACAUUUUGACGUCCGGAUUUAAAUAGAUUCGCGUAUAACACGUUCCUUAUUGUUAUUCGUUACCUUACGUGUGUCUAUGUAAUCGAUUCUUUCAAGGUAAUUUUGAUCGAUUUCAAGACUUCCUAUUAAAAUGAGAGUUUAUACGCGUUACAAGACAAUGUUCUACCUCGACCGAUGUCACUACAAUCAUUUUAUUAUUUUAACCUAAAUUUCUGGUACAAUAAACAGCAUUUUCAUUUAAAAAAAUAAUCACAUUUAUUGUUUAGUUGGCCCGUUAUGAAUCGAGACAUCUUUAAUUUCAUUUACUCGAUUAAAAUCUUAAGAAAUGCGUUCGGGAAUUAUGAAGGAUUCGCGUGGGAUCCGCGGUUUAUGAGACGCGCCUUAUUCUCGGAACGAAGUAUUUUCUUUUGAAAGUAGAUUUCUCAAGUGGAUUCCUUGGAUUUAUAAAGUUCAUGAUACGUGCAAACACAAGAUUGGAUCGAGGAUUGUUUGUUUUGUUAAAAAAUCUGUCAAAAAUCUUCGAGAUUACAGUGGCCUAAAAGAUAAGAUGCCCAGUGUACACGCUUCAACCGUUGCGGUUGGGUCGGCGUUCGAAUCCCGCAGGCAGAUGCUCAUUUUUGAAAAACUCGUACUCAAUCGUAUCGUCGUCGUGCUCACGAACGACUUUCACGAUGAAGAAAUAGCAUUGUAUAAAUGAAAAGAUAAACUAUAAGUUUGCGUAAUUACAGCCCGGGUUACUCGGGUUUUUUUUUAUUGCUUUGAUGGACGGACGAGUUAGCGUGGUAUGGACAUGUGAUGCGUAGAGAGAAGAUGCAUGUGACUAGGAGAUGUAUGGAAAUGGUAGUGCAAGGUAGAGGGGGAAGAGAUCGACCGAAGAAAACAUGGAUGGAGUGUGUGAAUAACGAUAUGAGAGAAAGAGAGGAGUGACUGUUGAAAUGACGGCUGAUAGAAGAGAAUGGAAGAGAAAAAUUAGAUGUGCCGACCCCACCUAGUGGGAUAAGGUGGAGAAAAAGAAGAAGAUGGAUGGACGAGUUAAUACCACCAUCCUGGCUAUUAAUGCCGCGAGCCAAUCACGCGGUCCGGUGCAAAGGCGGUGUCAUUAGUUAAUAUAGUAGAAUUUAAAUUUCGACCUCAUGUCUCAUGGGUGGACGCAUCAUAUUGUCUGCGAGUUUCGAUAACCACUUAGCGGAUGCGUCAGCUCUCGUUCAGCCAUUAGCAAUAUAGACGUACAAUUACGAAAUUAACAUAAUCUUCUACGAGCUGAACGACUGCCUAAAUAGUAUCAAGCUGUCGUUGAUCUUAUUUGCACAAUUAGGCGAAUUAAAAAAAAAAGUAGGCCAAAUUUUUUACCUUGCAUUUUGGAAUGAGGAAAUUAUUAGUUACAUUUAAAAAAAUAAUGAAUUUUCGUAUGCUACACAAAGCAGUAUAUAUCGUAGAAGGGUAAUUUAAUUUAUGUGUCCAAAAGACUACAACAGCGAACGGGCCCCAUAGACACAGCCCACUGAGUUUCUCGCCGGAUCUUCUCAGUGGGUCGCGUUUCCGAUCCGGUGGUAGACGCUGCGAAGCACGGCUCUUGCUAGGGUCAGUGUUAGCAAGGCCUCCUGGUUUGAGUCCCGAGAGCUCACGUCAGGGUUACGCUGACAUAUUCUCUCAAGGCUUAGGUAGGAAAGAAAAUAAACGAACGGGACAGGUUUAAUGUUAAAUGCUAUGACUCGUCCGAUGAUGAUAUUAAAUAUAAAUAUUAUAUAAAAUAUUUUGACUCGUCCGAUAUUAUGACUCGAAAACGUCCGAAUUCGAAGUAACUAUCCAACAUACAAUAAUACAUGCACAUGUGACAUCCAAAAAUUUAUCGAAAAAGAAAACUGAUUUCAACUAUAUAAAAAGAGAUACCAUUGUGUCUCACCCACACGUUACUCCGCACACCAUCUAUGGAGGCCAAAUCAAAAUAUUCAUAACUAUAAGAAUUAAUUCAAAAACUACUGGUAAGAUCUAGAUAAAAAUUAGCUUUCAAAUGAACCAGUUUUCAAACAAAAAAACAAAAGAAUUAUCAUAAUUGGUUCACCUAGAAAAAAGUUCUGAAGUAGCUCCGAACAAAAAUACAGUUCAAUUAAUUAUGUGAAUAAAUUAUGAUUUAUUUCGUAGAAUCUAUUCCAUUUGUUAUGGCACAUAUAUUUUAAUAAACUAUAGGCAGCAGGUUGGCUCUGCCCUUGGCAUUGCUGACGUCCAUGGGUGACGGUUACCACUCACCAUCAUCUGGGCCGUAUGCCCGUCUGCCCAAAGGAGCAAUAAAUAAAUAAAAUGUAGAUUACACAUAUAGUCUUUAGAUUGUUUAGCCUCUUAUGGUUGCUAUGGAAUAGGUAGAUAAAACGCUACAUACUAUGUAUUUUAUUUAGUUGAGAAUUUAAAAAUAUCUUGGGGACUUUCAACGUAAAUAGACUAAUUAUAAAGAAAAAAAAUGUUUAUCUGUUACAAGUAAACGGACGGUGGAUUAUAUUUUAUUUGCUUUAAAAUACUUUACGGAGUAUUAGCUGUGAAAGAAAAAAAUAGAUAACCUUAUAUAUUCUGUGCAACAGCAGCAAUAAGGACAUAGAGGACUUUUUGGGUGGAACGCGAGGAGUGAAGUUGUGUGAUUUGUUUUAUUUUAUCUAUUUAGUGUUUCUUCAGGUUUAAAUGUGUAAUAACGGUGGUUUAUAACUGUUUAAUAUCUCUGAAAGUGCACAAAUGUGGGAAAAUGAAACAAAGCCGCUAGACGUAACUUCUUGGGAUCCUCCAAAAAAGUGAAGAAAUCUCAGUAAAUGACCACUAUUUUACUGAGAUUAUAUUUAAUCCCUUAAAAUCUCAUUUGAUUUAAUUUCAUCCCAGUUGAUUAAUUUCUCAAAUUAAUGAUCCUCAUUUCAUUUAUCUCCAUAUUAUCGUUUUUCACAAAAAUAAGAAUAUAAUAUAAAUUAAAAUAAAACAUGACUUAAAGGUCUUAGUUACCAGGUCAUAAAAUCUUUAAAAAAAAGAAAAAGGACAUAAAUUGUUUGUAUGUCGAUGCCGUAUUCCAUAUCACAAUUCCAUUGGUAAAUGAUAAUAGUACAGGCUUCCAAUUAUCGUCAAAUAUUAUUUCGAUGUCGCCAAAGAUUUUGACGAGUAUCGCAUGGAAUUUCGUUAACAAUGAAUGAAGCCUUAACGAUCGGGCGUAGCGUUACAAUUUGUUAAAUUGCCUGCGAUUACUGGAGUUCGGUUCACUGUUAUUAUCGGCAUUCAUAUUUGUAGCGUUUGCCUUUUAUUGGAGUGACUGUGAAUAUUUAGAUUUUUUGAUAAAAAAUAUUUUUGUUCUUGUGCGAUUGAGUUGAUCAGAUGAAAAAGUUUGAACGUUUUUAAUUAAAUUCCCUGUAUCUUGAUUAUGAUUUAGAGAAGCUAUUGUUAAAAUGUUGUCUACGGGCUUUGGUGACAAUUUAACAUCAAAGGGAGUCAGGUUGUAGAAUACUUACUACUUGGCCUCUAAAUGCUGGAACAAUAUUCCUCCACCUAUCCGGCACCAGAGAACGCUAAGGUCCUUUAAAACAAAUUUAAAAGUAUAUCUUUUGAAUAUACAGGAAAAAUUCGAAAAUAUCAAAUAUAAUUACUCCGUACUAUAAUCAGUUGUGCUUUGCAACUGCAAUUUUUAUUUAAUUAAUUUAAUAAUGUCAUUUUGUUGUCCUUUUCAUAACUGUUUUUUUUUAUUUUCUAUUACUCAUGUUCUUUUUAUUUUUUAAUAUAUUUUACAAUGAUGUGUAUUGGUCGGUCUGAUGCUGGUGUGCGCGUCACUCCGCAGGUGCCGGCGGAAGAUCAGCGCCGCAGUACCGAUUGUCUCGAUACUGUUAGGCAUUGCUGAGCCGGUAACCAUUUCCAAGCCUCGUUAUUUUUGUUAUCUUUUUUUAUUUAUUUUUUGUACUUAAUUUGUGUUUGGAAUAAAUGUUUAUUAUUAUUA